rnacentral:rRNA from 1 species
GAUUAGUGGCGAACGGGUGAGUAACACGUGAGUAACCUGCCCUUGACUCUGGGAUAAGCCUGGGAAACUGGGUCUAAUACCGGAUAUGACUGUCUGACGCAUGUCAGGUGGUGGAAAGCUUUUGUGGUUUUGGAUGGACUCGCGGCCUAUCAGCUUGUUGGUGGGGUAAUGGCCUACCAAGGCGACGACGGGUAGCCGGCCUGAGAGGGUGACCGGCCACACUGGGACUGAGACACGGCCCAGACUCCUACGGGAGGCAGCAGUGGGGAAUAUUGCACAAUGGGCGCAAGCCUGAUGCAGCGACGCCGCGUGAGGGAUGACGGCCUUCGGGUUGUAAACCUCUUUCAGUAGGGAAGAAGCGAAAGUGACGGUACCUGCAGAAGAAGCGCCGGCUAACUACGUGCCAGCAGCCGCGGUAAUACGUAGGGCGCAAGCGUUAUCCGGAAUUAUUGGGCGUAAAGAGCUCGUAGGCGGUUUGUCGCGUCUGCUGUGAAAGACCGGGGCUCAACUCCGGUUCUGCAGUGGGUACGGGCAGACUAGAGUGAUGUAGGGGAGACUGGAAUUCCUGGUGUAGCGGUGAAAUGCGCAGAUAUCAGGAGGAACACCGAUGGCGAAGGCAGGUCUCUGGGCAUUAACUGACGCUGAGGAGCGAAAGCAUGGGGAGCGAACAGGAUUAGAUACCCUGGUAGUCCAUGCCGUAAACGUUGGGCACUAGGUGUGGGGGACAUUCCACGUUUUCCGCGCCGUAGCUAACGCAUUAAGUGCCCCGCCUGGGGAGUACGGCCGCAAGGCUAAAACUCAAAGGAAUUGACGGGGGCCCGCACAAGCGGCGGAGCAUGCGGAUUAAUUCGAUGCAACGCGAAGAACCUUACCAAGGCUUGACAUGAACCGGUAAUACCUGGAAACAGGUGCCCCGCUUGCGGUCGGUUUACAGGUGGUGCAUGGUUGUCGUCAGCUCGUGUCGUGAGAUGUUGGGUUAAGUCCCGCAACGAGCGCAACCCUCGUUCUAUGUUGCCAGCGCGUUAUGGCGGGGACUCAUAGGAGACUGCCGGGGUCAACUCGGAGGAAGGUGGGGACGACGUCAAAUCAUCAUGCCCCUUAUGUCUUGGGCUUCACGCAUGCUACAAUGGCCGGUACAAAGGGUUGCGAUACUGUGAGGUGGAGCUAAUCCCAAAAAGCCGGUCUCAGUUCGGAUUGGGGUCUGCAACUCGACCCCAUGAAGUCGGAGUCGCUAGUAAUCGCAGAUCAGCAACGCUGCGGUGAAUACGUUCCCGGGCCUUGUACACACCGCCCGUCAAGUCACGAAAGUUGGUAAC